rnacentral:rRNA from 1 species
AUUGAACGCUGGCGGCAGGCCUAACACAUGCAAGUCGAACGAGUGGCGGACGGGUGAGUAAUGUCUGGGAAACUGCCUGAUGGAGGGGGAUAACUACUGGAAACGGUAGCUAAUACCGCAUACCAUCAGAUGUGCCCAGAUGGGCUUAGCUUGUUGGUGGGGUAACGGCGCACCAAGGCGACGACCCCUAGCUGGUCUGAGAGGAUUACCAGCAACACUGGAACUGAGACACGGGCCAGACUCCUACGAGAGGCAGCAGUGGGGAAUAUGGCACAAUGAGCGAAAGCCGGAUGCAGCCAUGCCGCGUGUAUGAAGAAGGCCUUCGGGUUGUAAAGUACUUUCAGCGGGGAGGCGUUAAACGCAGAAGAAGCACCGGCUAACUCCGUGCCAGCAGACGCGGUAAUAC